rnacentral:rRNA from 1 species
GACAGAGGGGGCAAGCGUUGCUCGGAAUCACUGGGCGUAAAGGGCGCGUAGGCGGGAUGGCAAGUCGGUCGUGAAAUCCUUCGGCUCAACCGAAGAACGUCGGCCGAUACUGCCGUUCUUGAGGGAUGCAGAGGAGAUUGGAAUUCCCGGGUGUAGCGGUGAAAUGUGUAGAGAUCGGGAGGAACACCGGUGGGCGAAGGCGGGUCUCUGGGCGAUCUCCUGACGCUGAGGCGCGAA